rnacentral:rRNA from 1 species
AACGAACGCUGGCGGCGUGCUUAACACAUGCAAGUCGAGUGCGCGUACCGUAGCAAUACGGUAUGGCGCACGGCGCACGGGUGCGUAACACGUGGGCAAUCUGCCCUUCGAUGGGGAAUAACUCCGGGAAACCGAAGCUAAUUCCGCAUAACAUUCCUUGGACUUCGGUUCGAGGACUCAAAGCCGUAAGGCGUCGAAGGAGGAGCCCGCGCCCGAUUAGCUAGUUGGUGAGGUAACGGCUCACCAAGGCAAUGAUCGGUAGCUGGUCUGAGAGGAUGGCCAGCCACACUGGAACUGAGACACGGUCCAGACUCCUACGGGAGGCAGCAGUGGGGAAUCUUGCGCAAUGGGCGAAAGCCUGACGCAGCGACGCCGCGUGGGGGAUGAAGCAUUUCGGUGUGUAAACCCCUUUCGACUGGGACGAAUACCUCGCAAGAGGGGUGACGGUACCAGUAGAAGAAGCCCCGGCUAACUACGUGCCAGCAGCCGCGGUAAGACGUAGGGGGCCAGCGUUGUUCGGAAUUACUGGGUGUAAAGGGUUCGUAGGCGGUGUGGCAAGUCGGGAGUGAAAUCUAUGGGCUUAACCCAUAGGCUGCUUCCGAAACUGCCGUGCUUGAGUGUGGGAGAGGCGCGUGGAAUUGCAGGUGUAGCGGUGAAAUGCGUAGAUAUCUGCAGGAACACCCGUGGCGAAAGCGGCGCGCUGGACCACUACUGACGCUGAGGAACGAAAGCUAGGGGAGCAAACAGGAUUAGAUACCCUGGUAGUCCUAGCCCUAAACGAUCAGGAACUUGGGGUGCCACCCCGUUUCGGGUGUCGUCCCGGAGCUAACGCGUUAAGUCCUGCACCUGGGGGAGUACGGUCGCAAGACUGAAACU